rnacentral:misc_RNA from 1 species
GCUCCUACCGAUUGAGUGAUCCGGUGAAUUAUUCGGACUGACGCAGCGCUCAGCUUCUGGACGUUGCGUUGGAAAGUUUCAUGAACCUUAUCACUUAGAGGAAGGAGAAGUCGUAACAAGGUUUCCGUAGGUGAACCUGCAGAAGGAUCAAGAUCGGACGAGCGUCGUUUUGGGUAAGAUUGUAGAUCUCGGUGGUCGCCGUUUCAUUAACAAAAUAAUUAUUCUUCUCCUCUCUUCCUUCCUUUCUACUUCCCUACUCCUUUUCUCUCUUCUUCUU